AGUAGGUACAUUUUGAGAGGACGAGGACAACAUGGGGACACAUGAGGCACUGCCGAACAGCUGAGGUGAAGCUCUGCAGGGUCCAUCUUCUGCUUUCAUGAUUGUCCCCAAGCCAGAGUGAUGGAGGAUGGAGAGAGAAUGUGGAUUGGUACUAAGGUGUCAUGUGACUGCCUCAGACUGAAUUGUAAAACAUUUUUGGACAGUUUCAUACACGGAGAUGAUGAAGGUUGGAGGAGAGGAUCAGGAAAGAGCUGUUUGUACGAACGAUCUCCUAGUGGACCUCCGGAAGAAGAAAAGGAAGAGUGAGAUAAAGAGUGAAGGUCGGACAGCAGCAGCAGAACAGAGAAAAGAACACGCAAAGGCAGGAGAGCGCUGGACGAAGCCAGAUAUCUAAAAGGCAACGGGACCAGGAACCAGUACAGAUGAGGCUGAAUAACGAGGUAGCAGCCAGUUUGUGGAGUGACUCAGGGGCCAGGGCAAGGGAUUUGGUCUUUCUUUCAAGAGCACUGAGAAAACAUCAAACAUAAUCUAAAAUAAGCCAACCUCUGGUUUAAAGAGAUAACUGGAUCAGCUGUGUGGAAAACAAUCAGAGUCCUUACGACUCAGGGAGCCUGGGGUGGGAAUUCCUUAUAGAAUGCAUAUGGAUUCAUAUAUGUUUUUAUAUUUUAUAUCCAAGUCUCUACUCCACCUGGGAUCUUGCUCACAGCAACAGCUAAGGCUUAUCCUUGAGUAGAUAUGGAUAGCUAUUUGCUCCAACGCCGUUGAUUGAAAAUGUCCUUUGCCUGUUGCUUUUCUAUCACACAUUUGGCAUAAACUCAUUUCUACAGUAGUUACGGUUGUACAUUUUAGGUUAUUGUAAUGUUCUGGUCUGUCUUUCUCUUCUUGCGC
rnacentral:lncRNA from 1 species